GCCCGGGCUUCGGCCUGGUUAUUCAUAACCCUUUGUUGUCCGACUCUGUUGCCUCCGGGGCGACCCUGCCUUCGGGCGGGGGCUCCGGGUGGACACUUCAAACUCUUGCGUAACUUUGCAGUCUGAGUAAACUUAAUUAAUAAAUUAAAACUUUUAACAACGGAUCUCUUGGUUCUGGCAUCGAUGAAGAACGCAGCGAAAUGCGAUAAGUAAUGUGAAUUGCAGAAUUCAGUGAAUCAUCGAAUCUUUGAACGCACAUUGCGCCCCCUGGUAUUCCGGGGGGCAUGCCUGUUCGAGCGUCAUUUCACCACUCAAGCCUCGCUUGGUAUUGGGCAACGCGGUCCGCCGCGUGCCUCAAAUCGUCCGGCUGGGUCUUCUGUCCCCUAAGCGUUGUGGAAACUAUUCGCUAAAGGGUGUUCGGGAGGCUACGCCGUAAAACAACCCCAUUUCUAAGGUUGACCUCGGAUCAGGUAGGGAUACCCGCUGAACUUAAGCAUAUCAAUAAGC
rnacentral:rRNA from 1 species